ensembl:lncRNA
CACACACACACACACACACACACACACACACACACACACACACACACAAGAUUGUGGUUUAAGGGCUGUGUUGGAAGCUAUGUCUCUUGGAAUCAGUAAAUGGAGGAGGCUGGAUGAUGGAACCAGACUCACUUCUGCCAGCAAACACUAUUUGUGCACCAUGGUAUCAAAGUAUCCAGUAUGUUUCCUGUUCUAUAGGUACUGUAUAGCCAAUACUGUAUUUAGCUUUGUGAAAUGUUAGCAAUUUUUAUUAUUAUAGAUUCUUCAUAAUUUUUUAUAAACACUUUGACAUAACCGUCUUUACGUCUUGAUAGGUAGCACUCAGAUAUUCAAAAGCACUCUUAAAAAAAAUGUUUCCGUGGCUGUGAGGGCAGCAGAACAUUUCAACACGACCCAGCUGUAUUAAGCAGUUAGUUAGUAAGACAAUGGAGUAUGAUAUAAAUCCAAGUUUACAACUGAUUUUAUUAUCAAUAUAUCUUAUGGAAGUGAUGGCUGAUGUUUAAUCAGAUUUUCUGGAUUCACUGUUUCCAACAGUGGCUUUCUCCCGAAACAUUUCCCACCUAGACAACAAUUUUAACAUUAUAAAAAACAUACAUAGUUAGCUUAACCAAAAACAAACUUAGCGUUCUGUUGGGGUUGGUGUCAUUUGCUUGAAUGAAAUUUCCCAAAAACUCGUGUGGUUGCAGACUUUGAUCAUGUCGAGCUGAUCGAGCUGAUCGAGCUGGGAGACCAUUUAUACCAGCUGGUAAGUGCUGGUAGAAAAGAGAACAGUUUCUAAAUGAUUACUUUUAACACUAACUCAUUAGCAUUGGUUAAGGAACAAACACAAUUAGGAGUUCUCAAACAAGAAAGAAAAUGACUUAAUAACUUAAAAGAUGGUCUACCAGUUUGACCAGUUUGGCCUGUGUUUUGGCAGGGCACACCCAGCUGGAUUUUCACCAGGGAUUGCUGAGCUUCUUGAAAUUUAAUCAGGUGAAUAACAUCUAACACGGAGCAUAAUCUUGGACUCACACUGUAACUUUUCGGAUUGUGAUGUUACAUUAUAAUGCUAUUGCACCGUGCAUGUGUAUGUUUUUGAUGGUACAGGCUUUGAGAGGUUUGGAUGGAGGGCACGGGGCUGGUGUCUGGGUGUAAGUUAGCCAAGAUCAUCAACGCCACUUAUCGGAGCUCAGAGCUCCCAAGAACAAGGACACUUCGGCAUGUGGAGUCAUGCUGGCCGGGAAUCGAACCACAAACCCUACUAUUAGUGGACGACCCGCUCUACCAACUGAGCCACAGCUGCCCCAGUAUGUCAAUAAAUUACAUGUAGCACCGUAUCACUGU